GACGGGGGGUGCAAGCGUUGUUCGGAAUCAUUGGGCGUAAAGCGCGUGCAGGUGGCUCUGUAAGUCAGAUGUGAAAGCCCCGGGCUUAACCCGGGAAGUGCAUUUGAAACUGCAAAGCUUGAGUAUGGAAGAGGGUCGUGGAAUUCCAGGUGUAGUGGUGAAAUACGUAGAUAUCUGGAGGAACACCGGUGGCGAAGGCGGCGACCUGGUCCAAUACUGACACUCAUACGCGAAAGCGUGGGGAUCAAACAGG
rnacentral:rRNA from 1 species